UACAUGCAUAAGCAUGUAUACACACGUAUGCAUUUCUUUCCAUUCCAGUUCUCAGUGUCAGGCUCCCAGAGCAGCUCAGCUGUUUACAUGCACAACUACUAUAACGUUUAUGUAAAAUCUUGUCACUGUUAUAAUUUACUGCUUUGUCCACUCAGCAGCUUCCUUUCCCUGAGGGCAGAAAACACACUGGAGGAGAGACUGUGUUUAUCUGUGGUUGCAAAGUGCCAGAGACAGAGCUAAAAAUAAGCUGAUAAUAGAUCAUCAGGGUUUUGGCAAAGAAAAAGGAAACAACAAAUUCAGAAGAGGGGAUCUGUAGGAAAAACUGGAAUAACAAGAGAGUUUGAGUUAAUUCAUCAAAUCUGGCAUUGCUUGCAACUGGUCACCUCCAUUUCUUCAGUACAAUUUUCCUUAAUUUACACCUGAGAGAUGCAUGACUACAAAUCUGAUCCUGAAAGCUUUUCUCUCCCGCCUCUCUCAUCUAGAUCCCACAUGCCGUUUCUCAAGGUGACAUGCUGCUCUUCAAACACAGGAGGAGGCGGGGAAGGAAGGGAGAGGGGAGAUCAUUCCAUUAUAAAUUGGUGCAAAAUGGAAUAAGGCUUUAAAAUGUUGCAAAGAUAACAUUUGAUCUCCCAGAGGAUUACAGGAGCAGUGCAUCCCCACUUUCUGCAUCCCCCUAAUCCUAUUAGAUACCACCAGGAAUAAGCAGCUGGCACCAUAAUAAAUGCCAAACAAAUGCUUUUGAACUGUUUGAAUGUAUGAGGGGGGAAAAACGCCUUGAGGUGGAUAUAAAGCACUGGGAGCAUGACAAGAAGCUGGGAGUAUACAGCCUCUAAUCUUCUUCAUAAUUGCCAUCACUUACAUGUGUCCAGUUUAGACGCGGGAAGAUUGUCCCAGUGGUAUUAAUCCACUGGAGCCUUUUUGAACUGGGUAUCAUCUUGCGUGAAGGUUUUGAUGAAUUUCUGCUUUCUGUCGGUACUUUGAUGAUGUUUCUGUCUCAGCUAAGAGUGUUUAUCUGGGCUUUGCAAUCUGAAUGGGUUUUCAAAUGAUAUGGUCAUGUGAGUGCACAGUUCUGUUUUCUAACGUGCCCUGUAAUUCACUAGGCAAGAAU